AUGAAUAAAGUCAAUAGCUACAUGUGCCCCAAAAUUGAUUUUGAAAAGAGAAGAAAAUGGUCCUUUCAUAUUGAUUAAACAGUGUACACAACAACCCAAAUUAUAAUUCUGUACACACUUUGUCACUGUGUGUUGUAAUGUUGGUUGAUGGAAGAUGAUCAACUCGUGAGAUUGAAUUACAACAUAUGUCAUAGACAUUACAUCACUACAUCACUCAAUAUCGAAAUCUCUUGGAUCACCUAACAUCAAACAAUUUUAUUUGGAGAUCAUAUUGGGUCUGAGACAUCAUCAUUAAAUCAACGAAGAAGAUGCAGUCGUUUGGUAUGCAACAACACUGAUCACCAGGUUCACCACUAUGGAGAUGUGACCGUGUGAAACUGCAAUUUGACAUGCAUCAACAUAUCACAUAUCCCCUGUGGUGCCUCGGACAAUGGCAUCGAUAUAAAGUUAAUGAA